rnacentral:rRNA from 1 species
UACAGAGGUCUCAAGCGUUGUUCGGAUUCAUUGGGCGUAAAGGGUGCGUAGGCGGCGCGGUAAGUCGGGUGUGAAAUCUUGGAGCUUAACUCCGAAACUGCAUUCGAUACUGCCGUGCUUGAGGACUGGAGAGGAGACUGGAAUUUACGGUGUAGCGGUGAAAUGCGUAGAUAUUGGGAGGAAUACCGGUGGCGAAGGCGGCUCCCUGGACCGGUACUGACGCUGAGGCGCGAAAGCGUGGGUAGCAAACAGG